rnacentral:rRNA from 1 species
GAUGAACGCUGGCGGCGUGCCUAACACAUGCAAGUCGAGCGAACGGACGAGAAGCUUGCUUCUUAGUUGUUAGCGGAGGACGGGUGUGUAACACGUGGAUAACCUACCUAUAUGCCUGGGAUAACUUCGGGAAACCGGAGCUAAUCCCGGAUAAUAUUUUGAACCGCAUGGUUCAAAAGUGAAAGACGGUCUUGCUGUCACUUAUAGACGGUUACGUGCUGCAUUAGCUAGUUGGUAAGGUAACGGUCUACCAAGGCAACGAAGGAUAGCCGACGGGAGAGGGUGAUCGGCCACACUGGAACUGGGACACGCACCAGGCUCCUACGGGAGGCAGCAGUAGGGAAUCGUACGCAGUAGGCGGAAACCUGACAGAACAGCGCCACGUGUGUGAUGGAGGUCUUGGGAUCGUAAAGCUCUGUUAUGAGUGAAAAACAUAUGUGUAAAUAGCUGUACACAUCUUGACGGUACCUAGUCAAGAAGCCACGGCUAACUACGUG